UGGGGAAUCUUGCGCAAUGGGCGAAAGCCUGACGCAGCGACGCCGCGUGCGGGAAGAAGGCCUUCGGGUUGUAAACCGCUUUCAGGAGGGACGAAGCCACUCGGGUGAACAGCCCAGAGGGUGACGAUACCUCCAGAAGAAGCCCCGGCUAACUACGUGCCAGCAGCCGCGGUAAUACGUAGGGGGCAAGCGUUGUCCGGAUUCAUUGGGCGUAAAGAGCGUGUAGGCGGCCAGGUAGGUCGGUUGUGAAAACUGGAGGCUCAACCUUCAGAGGUCGACCGAAACCAUCUGGCUAGAGUCCGGGAGAGGAGAGUGGAAUUCCUGGUGUAGCGGUGAAAUGCGCAGAUAUCAGGAAGAACACCCGUGGCGAAAGCGGCUCUCUGGAACGGUACUGACGCUGAGACGCGAAAGCGUGGGGAGCGAACAGGAUUAGAUACCCUGGUAGUCCACGCCGUAAACGAUGGGCGCUAGGUGUGGGAGGUGUCGACUCCUUCCGUGCCGCAGCUAACG
rnacentral:rRNA from 1 species